rnacentral:rRNA from 1 species
AUUGAACGCUGGCGGCAUGCCUUACACAUGCAAGUCGAACGGUAACAGGUCUUCGGAUGCUGACGAGUGGCGAACGGGUGAGUAAUACAUCGGAACGUGCCUAGUAGUGGGGGAUAACUACUCGGAAGAGUGGCUAAUACCGCAUGAGAUCUACGGAUGAAAGCAGGGGAUCGCAAGACCUUGUGCUACUAGAGCGGCCGAUGGCAGAUUAGGUAGUUGGUGGGAUAAAAGCUUACCAAGGCGACGAUCGUUAGCUGGUCUGACAGGACGAUCAGCAACACUGGUACUGAGACACGGCCGAGACUCCUACGUGAGGCAGCAGUGGGGAGUGUUGGACAAGGGGCUAAAGCCUGUUCCAGCAAUGCCGCGUGCAGGAUGACUGCCUUCGGGUUGUAAACUGCUUUUGUACGGAACGAAAAGCCCCGGGUUAAUACCUUGGGGUCAUGGCGGUACCGUAAGAAUAAGCACCGGCUAACUACGUGCCAGCCGCCGCAGUAA